CAAAGAGUAGUUUAAGGAGAAUUUCAGCUUUGGGUGCUGAUGGUGGGACUUUAGGUCUCCUCUUUGA
rnacentral:tRNA from 1 species